rnacentral:misc_RNA from 1 species
GAUGAAGAACGUAGCGAAAUGCGAUAAGUAAUGUGAAUUGCAGAAUUCAGUGAAUCAUCGAAUCUUUGAACGCACAUUGCGCCCCUUGGUAUUCCGAGGGGCAUGCCUGUUCGAGCGUCAUUAUAACCCCUCAAGCUCAGCUUGGUGUUGGGGCCUGCUGCACUGGCAGCCCUUAAAAUCAGUGGCGGCGCCAUCUGGCUCUAAGCGUAGUAAUUCUUCUCGCUAUGGAGUCCUGGUGGAUGCUUGCCAUCAACCCCCAAUUUUUCUAUGGUUGACCUCGGAUCAGGUAGGGAUACCCGCUGAACUUAAGCAUAUCAAGCGGAGGA